rnacentral:rRNA from 1 species
UACGUAGGGGCCAAGCGUUAUCCGGAUUUACUGGGCGUAAAGAGCAUGUAGGCGGUUGACUAAGUCGGAUGUGAAAGCUCCUGGCUUAACUGGGAGAGGCCAUUCGAAACUAGUCAGCUGGAGGGUGGUAGAGGAGAGCGGAAUUCCAGGUGUAGCGGUGAAAUGCGUAGAUAUCUGGAGGAACACCAGUGGCGAAAGCGGCUCUCUGGACCAUUCCUGACGCUGAGAUGCGAAAGCCAGGGGAGAGAACGGG